AGCAUUGGGAGCAGCCGGAGGGGGAGAUCCGAGUCUACGAUUUCAUGAUUGGUGGUGUGCACCAUUUCCCAGAAAGAUGCUAUCUGUGGGCAGGUCCACCAUAUGUGUAUUCCUGUCCCCUUGUCUGUCCCGCAUCUCCAGUAGGUUUCCGAGAUGUCGCUGUUCAUGAGGUGUAGGACGUCAGGGGUUCUGUACCAUCGUGUCAGGAGUUUGUAAUUAGUCUAUUGGUGUCAAGCUUUUGUGUG